rnacentral:rRNA from 1 species
AGUGGUGGAGGCUAUGCGAGUGAGAAUGCAGGCAUGAGUAGCGAAAGAUGAGUGAGAAACUCAUCCGCCGGAUGAUCAAGGGUUCCAGGGUCAAGUUAAUCUGCCCUGGGUUAGUCGGGGCCUAAGGCGAGGCCGACAGGCGUAGUCGAUGGAUAACGGGUUGAUAUUCCCGUACCGGUGAAGAACCGCCCAUACUGAUAUUGUGAUGCUAACCAUGCGAAGCAUGAUGUGCAGGCUUUUGUUUGUGUGUUGUGUGGGUUGUGGGACCCGAUCUUUGGAGGUAAACGUGUUAACAGGUGUGACGCAGGAAGGUAGCCAAGCCACGCGAUGGUUGUCGUGGUCUAAGCGUGUAGGGUUGUCGGUUGUUAAAUGCGCCGGCUGUGUGCCUGAGACGUGAUGGGACCCUGUUUUUGGGGGAUUUGGUGAUCCUAUGCUGCCGAGAAAAGCAUCGGCGUGAGGUUUUAGCCGCCCGUACCCUAAACCGACACAGGUGAUCAGGGAGAGAAUACUAAGGCGAUCGAGAGAAUCAUGGUUAAGGAACUCGGCAAAAUGCCCCCGUAACUUCGGGAGAAGGGGGACCUUGAGCGUGAUGGGCACUUGCUGCCUGGAGCGUGUAUGGGUCGCAGAGACCAGGGGGAAGCGACUGUUUAUCAAAAACACAGGUCCGUGCGAAGUCGUAAGACGAUGUAUACGGACUGACUCCUGCCCGGUGCUGGAAGGUUAAGAGGAUUGGUUAGCUCUUUUGAGCGAAGCUGAGAAUUUAAGCCCCAGUAAACGGCGGUGGUAACUAUAACCAUCCUAAGGUAGCGAAAUUCCUUGUCGGGUAAGUUCCGACCUGCACGAAUGGAGUAACGACUUCCCUACUGUCUCAACCAUGAACUCGGCGAAAUUGCAGUACGAGUAAAGAUGCUCGUUUCGCGCAGCAGGACGGAAAGACCCCGUGACCUUUACUAUAGUUUGGUAUUGGUGUUUGGUUUGGCUUGUGUAGGAUAGGUGGGAGACUGUGAAGCAUGGACGCUAGUUUGUGUGGAGUCGUUGUUGAAAUACCACUCUGGUCAAUCUGGAUGUCUAACUUCGGGCCAUGAUCUGGUUCAGGGACAGUGCCUGAUGGGUAGUUUAACUGGGGCGGUUGCCUCCUAAAGUGUAACGGAGGCGCCCAAAGGUUCCCUCAGCCUGGUUGGCAAUCAGGUGUUGAGUGUAAGUGCACAAGGGAGCUUGACUGUGAGACUGGCAGGUCGAGCAGGGACGAAAGUCGGGACUAGUGAUCCGGCGGUACGUUGUGGAACGGCCGUCGCUCAACGGAUAAAAGGUACCUCGGGGAUAACAGGCUGAUCUUGCCCAAGAGUCCAUAUCGACGGCAUGGUUUGGCACCUCGAUGUCGGCUCGUCGCAUCCUGGGGCUGGAGUCGGUCCCAAGGGUUGGGCUGUUCGCCCAUUAAAGCGGUACGCGAGCUGGGUUCAGAACGUCGUGAGACAGUUCGGUCCCUAUCCGCUGCGCGCGUUGGAAAUUUGAGAAAGGCUGUCCUUAGUACGAGAGGACCGGGACGGACGAACCUCUGGUAUGUCAGUUGUACCGCCAGGUGCAUGGCUGAUUGGCUACGUUCGGGAGGGAUAACCGCUGAAAGCAUCUAAGCGGGAAGCCUGUUUCGAGAUGAGAUUUCCUGGCACUUUUUGGUGUGUGAGGCUCCUUAUAGAUGAUGAGGUUGAUAGGCCGGGUAUGGAAGCGGGGACUGAAGACUCGUGGAGUUGACUGGUACUAAUAGGCUGAAGGCUUAUUU